UUUUUUUUUUUUUUUUUUGGCAAUGACCACGGCAUGCAGAAGUUCCCCAGCCAGAGAUCACACCUGCCCCCAGCACUAAUAACACCAGAUCCUUAACCCUUUGAGCCAGUUUUAAUGUAUUGUGCUGUAUAAUUGAUAUAGCUUACAACAAAGGAAGAACAGAAAAAGCAGAUGAAUACUGAGCUGUAGGAUCUGUGUUAAUCUUUCCGAUUAACUUCAGCCAACAUUUAUCACCCUUUUUGUAUUUUUAUUGAUUGCAAAUACAUUAUUGCAUUUAUUGUUGGCAACAUAAGAUUUGGUAAGUGGUGGUGUUCGUAAGGCACAAUAUUUUGUAGACUAAUUGUUGCCAGGCCACACGGCUUGUAAAUGAUAGAGCCAGGAUUUAAAUCCAGGAUUACUUUCAGAACCCAGACUCUUAAGUUUCUUAAAGGGGCAUUUUUUUCUCAGCCUUAUUUAUGCUUGUUGAAACUCUUCGCAUUUUGAAGUUUAUUUUACAGAGAUUUGAUUUUCUUUUCUUUUCUACUAUAUGAGUUGUGUAGUCUUGAGUAGAACAUUUAAUCUCUAGAGGCCUCGGUUGUCUCAUCUCUAUGAUGGGAAUCCAAUUAGGAUUCUUUCAACAUAUAUUUAUGAGCGCCUAUUCCAUGAACAGUAGUGAGUAUACAAAGUUGUUAUACAUAGGCUUUUCUUUUGAACAGCUUUUGUUCUUUUGGGAGAGAUCAAAAACUUAAACUCCCCCCAAAACAAAACAAACUAUCAGGGAUAAUACAUGAAAUGUUAUGAAGAGCAUUAGGUUCAGGAUACUUUGGAAGCAUAAAGUGCAGAGGUAAGAGGACAUGUCCUUCUCCUUGUCAGGUCCUCCCAAAUAAUGUUUUUAUUUUUAAUGUGUCAGGAAGUGACAGACAUGAAACAGAAGACUUUUUUCAGGGUAGUCCUUUUAUUUCCUGAAUGAGAUAACAAUAAUUAAGUAUUACCUGUACUGUUUUUAGGCUCUCUGACAAGAUUUCUGUUCGUAAUUGUUGAGUUUGUUUAAAGGUUCAAGUAGAGAUUUGAGACACCUCUGCUUGUCUCCUCAGUCUUAGAGAGGCAGAAAAAAAGUGUUUUAUACAUUGCCAAGCAUGAACAUGAUCUGGUUAUCUUUUUUGAGAUACCCAGUUCCCUCUUUCAUCCUAAAGGUCUAUUGAUUCUGAUUAUAUCAGGUUAUUCAUUUUCCUGUCUCAUUUGUGAGAGUACUGAGAGGUAGCUUUCUCUUUUCUCUAGUAGAGAUUGUACAAAGUAGCAUAUGUGUAGCAUAUGACAGAGUGGAAGACAAAGUUAAGGACAAUCUUUUUUUUUUAGUUGAAGUGUUGUUAAUUUACAGUGUUGUGUCAAUUUCUGCUAUACAGCACAGUAAACCAGGUGUGUGUGUGUAUUCUUUUUCUUAUAUUAUCUUCUGUCAUGUUCUAUCCUAAAUAAAAUCUUAAACAGUGUUCUACUUUAUUUAUUGUUAAAGGCUAAAUUAAUUUAUGCAUCUUGUACUGUUGGGGUUUGUUAAAAAGUUUGUAUAUUCACAGAUGAAGGAAGUACUAUCACAUGAUAAAGGGCUAAGAAAGCCAUUGUCUAUUGUCCAAGAGAGUUCCUGACACCUGAGUCCCACUGCCUGUGUCAGAUUUUAACCCAUCCGCUUACUAGAUAAAUAAAACUUGGGCAAAUUCCUUAACCUCUCUAAAUCUCAGUUUCCUCAUCUGUGUAAUGGGAAUAAUAAAAACAUGCCUCAUAGGUUGUUGUAAUGGUUAAAAAGUUAGAUUUUAGCUGCUAGACUAUAUUGCAUUGUAUGUAUAUUCAGAGGAUAUUAAAUUUAGGUGAGUAGAAUUAUAACACAGAUAAAUCAUGAGAUUACUUUGUAGAAGCAAAGAAUUUAAAUUGGUUCUUAUUAAUACAUAGUGUUAGCAGGUUCUUAUCAGCACGUCAAACUAGUUGAAUUAUAAACUUUAUUAGAGUGGCCAGAGGAUGAGGUACUCUGGUUAAUUGAGAGAUGAGGGUUGUAUAGCCAGAGUUUUCUGCUUAUUGCUAAAAAUAUUUUAAAAAUCAGACUCUUUCUUUAGAAAGUACUGUAUCUUGGAAAGGUAUUGUUUUCUUUGUGAUUGAGAAAUUUGAUGGCUAUAUCAGGAUUUUUAUUUAUGAGUAUCAGCUUUGUAUGUAUAAUUUUGCAAACAAAGAGACUGGGAAUGACUGUUUACCAAGAAUAAAAUAUAUCUUGAAAGUUACCUCUGGAGUAAGUUCUUAGACAAAAAUAAGAUGGUUAGAUGGCUGCUUUUCCUCUUAUAAAAAUGAAGUACAGGAGUUCCCGUCAUGGCUCAGCAGUUAACGAACAUCCCUGAGGAUGUGGGUUUGAUCCCUAGUCUCCUUCAGUGGGUUAAGGAUCUGGCAUUGCAGUGAGCUGUGGUGUAGGUCUCAGAUAUGGCUUGGAUUCUGUGUUGCUGUGGCUCUGGUGUAGGCUGGCGGUUACAUCUCUGAUUGGACCCCUAGCCUGGGACCCUCCAUAUGCCACAGGUGUGGC
rnacentral:lncRNA from 1 species